GCGAUGAUGGUAUAGUGGUGAGCAUAGCUGCCUUUCCAGCAGUUGACCUGGGUUUUGAUUCCCCACCAUUGCC